UGCAGUAAGAGAUGAACAUUCCCUUUGGAGAGACACACUAGGUCACUACAAAUGGGCCACUGAAGAACCUGGCACUGGCCGCUAUCACUGGCCCCAGCUGCAGUGCUGCUUGCUGUUCACAGAUUGUGAAUUCCAUGAAAGCAGGGACUGUGCUUUCUGAGUCUCUAGCCAAGCACCUGCCACAUGGAUACCUCAUGGAAACUUGACAGAACAAAGGAUUUAUUUUUUAUUAGGUUAAAUCUGCUUCUUGGGUACUGUUUGCUUGCUGCCCAUUAAGUCUGGACAUCUCAAUUUGAAAAAAAGGCACUUGGAUUAAUAAAAACAACCUGAAACAGAUCCCUUUAGUGGGGUGACUCUGUAUUAUGUUAAAACGUAAUGUGACAAACACGGCUGCAGCGCCCUCC
rnacentral:lncRNA from 1 species